GCCUUUCGGGGUACACGAGCGGCGAACGGGUGAGUAACACGUGGGUGAUCUGCCCUGCACUCUGGGAUAAGCUUGGGAAACUGGGUCUAAUACCGGAUAUGACUGCAUGCCGCAUGGUGUGUGGUGGAAAGAUUUAUCGGUGCAGGAUGGGCCCGCGGCCUAUCAGCUUGUUGGUGGGGUAAUGGCCUACCAAGGCGACGACGGGUAGCCGACCUGAGAGGGUGACCGGCCACACUGGGACUGAGACACGGCCCAGACUCCUACGGGAGGCAGCAGUGGGGAAUAUUGCACAAUGGGCGGAAGCCUGAUGCAGCGACGCCGCGUGAGGGAUGAAGGCCUUCGGGUUGUAAACCUCUUUCAGCAGGGACGAAGCGUGAGUGACGGUACCUGCAGAAGAAGCACCGGCUAACUACGUGCCAGCAGCCGCGGUAAUACGUAGGGUGCGAGCGUUGUCCGGAAUUACUGGGCGUAAAGAGUUCGUAGGCGGUUUGUCGCGUCGUUUGUGAAAACCCGGGGCUCAACUUCGGGCUUGCAGGCGAUACGGGCAGACUUGAGUGUUUCAGGGGAGACUGGAAUUCCUGGUGUAGCGGUGAAAUGCGCAGAUAUCAGGAGGAACACCGGUGGCGAAGGCGGGUCUCUGGGAAACAACUGACGCUGAGGAACGAAAGCGUGGGUAGCAAACAGGAUUAGAUACCCUGGUAGUCCACGCCGUAAACGGUGGGCGCUAGGUGUGG
rnacentral:rRNA from 1 species